rnacentral:RNase_P_RNA from 1 species
CUGACUGGAUAACUGCUCUAUUCAUAGAGAGGAAAGUCCGGGCUCCAUGGGCAAGAUGCCAGGUAAUUCCUGGGGGGUGUGAACCUACGGAAAGUGCAGCAGAAAGUAUACCGCCUUAAAAGGUAAGGGUGAAAAGGUAAGGUAAGAGCUUACCGCAUGACUGGCAACAGUUCAUGGCAUUGCAAACCCCAUCUGGAGCAAGACCAAAUAGAGGUUCAAUAGUGUGCCCACACUGAAUCUGGGUAGGUUGCUUGAAUCUUAUGGCGACAUAAGAUCUAGAUGAAUGGUUAUCCUCGACAGAACCCGGCUUAUAGGUCAGCUCA